rnacentral:rRNA from 1 species
CCUUAGAGUUUGAUCCUGGCUCAGGAUGAACGCUAGCUACAGGCUUAACACAUGCAAGUCGAGGGGAAACGACAUCGAAAGCUUGCUUUUGAUGGGCGUCGACCGGCGCACGGGUGAGUAACGCGUAUCCAACCUGCCCACCACUUGGGGAUAACCUUGCGAAAGUAAGACUAAUACCCAAUGAUAUCUCAAGAAGCCAUCUGAAUGAGAUUAAAGAUUUAUCGGUGAUGGAUGGGGAUGCGUCUGAUUAGCUUGUUGGCGGGGUAGCGGCCCACCAAGGCUACGAUCAGUAGGGGUUCUGAGAGGAAGGUCCCCCACAUUGGAACUGAGACACGGUCCAAACUCCUACGGGAGGCAGCAGUGAGGAAUAUUGGUCAAUGGGCGAGAGCCUGAACCAGCCAAGUAGCGUGCAGGAAGACGGCCCUAUGGGUUGUAAACUGCUUUUAUAAGGGAAUAAAGUGAGUCUCGUGAGACUUUUUGCAUGUACCUUAUGAAUAAGGACCGGCUAAUUCCGUGCCAGCAGCCGCGGUAAUACGGAAGGUCCGGGCGUUAUCCGGAUUUAUUGGGUUUAAAGGGAGCGUAGGCCGGAGAUUAAGCGUGUUGUGAAAUGUAGACGCUCAACGUCUGCACUGCAGCGCGAACUGGUUUCCUUGAGUACGCACAAAGUGGGCGGAAUUCGUGGUGUAGCGGUGAAAUGCUUAGAUAUCACGAAGAACUCCGAUUGCGAAGGCAGCUCACUGGAGCGCAACUGACGCUGAAGCUCGAAAGUGCGGGUAUCGAACAGGAUUAGAUACCCUGGUAGUCCGCACGGUAAACGAUGGAUGCCCGCUGUUGGUCUGAAUAGGUCAGCGGCCAAGCGAAAGCAUUAAGCAUCCCACCUGGGGAGUACGCCGGCAACGGUGAAACUCAAAGGAAUUGACGG